UUUUUUUGUUGCCAUACUGCCCUGUGAGUCGAGCGCGGUAAGCAGGCUGAUCCUCUUCGGAGGUGACGCUUGUGGAACGAGCGGCGGACGGGUGAGUAACACGUGGGCAACCUGCCUGUAAGACUGGGAUAACCCCGGGUGAAACCGGGGCUAAUACCGGAUAAUACUUUUCAUCACCUGAUGGAAAGUUGAAAGGUGGCUUCUUGCUACCACUUACAGAUGGGCCCGCGGCGCAGUUAGCUAGUUGGUGAGGUAACGGCUCACCAAGGCAACGAUGCGUAGCCGACCUGAGAGGGUGAUCGGCCACACUGGGGAACUGAGACACGGGCCCCAGACUCCUUACGGGAGGCAGCCAGUAGGGAAUCUUCCGCCAAAUGGACGAAAGUUCUGACGGAGCAACGCCGCCGUGAGUGAUGAAGGUUUUUCGGAUCGUAAAGGCCUCUGUUGUUAGGGAAGAACAAGUGCCGUUCGAAUAGGGCGGCACCUUGACGGUACCUAACCAGAAAGCCCCGGCUAACUACGUGCCAGCAGCCGCGGUAAUACGUAGGGGGCAAGCGUUGUCCGGAAUUAUUGGGCGUAAAGCGCGCGCAGGCGGUCCUUUAAGUCUGAUGUGAAAGCCCACGGCUUAACCGUGGAGGGUCAUUGGAAACUGGAGGACUUGAGUACAGAAGAGGAGAGUGGAAUUCCACGUGUAGCGGUGAAAUGCGUAGAGAUGUGGAGGAACACCAGUGGCGAAGGCGACUCUCUGGUCUGUAACUGACGCUGAGGCGCGAAAGCGUGGGGAGCGAACAGGAUUAGAUACCCUGGUAGUCCACGCCGUAAACGAUGAGUGCUAGGUGUUAGGGGGUUUCCGCCCCUUAGUGCUGAAGUUAACGCAUUAAGCACUCCGCCUGGGGAGUACGGCCGCAAGGCUGAAACUCAAAAGAAUUGACGGGGGCCCGCACAAGCGGUGGAGCAUGUGGUUUAAUUCGACGCAACGCGAAGAACCUUACAAGGUCGUGACAUCUUCUGCAAUCUGUAGAAGAACCGAGUUCCCUUCGUGGACAAAAGUACGGAUGUUGCCUUGUUUGCCACGCAUUCCUGGCCUUGGAACGUUGGGUUUAGUUCCCGCACCGACCGCAACCCCUUGAUCUUAAUUUGUCUGCAAUUAUAUUGGGCACUCUAAGGUGACUGCCGGUGACAAACCGGAGGAAGGUGGGGAUGACGUCAAAUCAUCAUGCCCCUUAUGACCUGGGCUACACACGUGCUACAAUGGAUGGAACAAAGGGAAGCAAAACCGCGAGGUCAAGCAAAUCCCAUAAAACCAUUCUCAGUUCGGAUUGCAGGCUGCAACUCGCCUGCAUGAAGCCGGAAUCGCUAGUAAUCGCGGAUCAGCAUGCCGCGGUGAAUACGUUCCCGGGCCUUGUACACACCGCCCGUCACACCACGAGAGUUGGUAACACCCGAAGUCGGAGAGGUAACUCCCAGAUGCCAGCACGAUGUAUACGGAAAGUAGUAAUAACCAAACGC
rnacentral:rRNA from 1 species